CUUUUUUCCCUACAAUGACUAGUUUCUUCUGUUUAUCACAUAUUUUCCUCAGAGCCAGUUUUAUCCCCAAGAAGUGUCUCAAGGUCCCUGAUGGAGGCAUUUUGGAAUGGGGCACGGAAGGCCACAGAAAAACGUUCUGGAACAAGGGGAACAAGGCAAUGGCAAUCACCAAAAUUGAGCAGCAGUGUUUUGGUAGGACAUGAAAUUAACACUGAUCCCCUACAUCUGCCAUGAGCUGGGUGAGAUUUGGGUAGUUCCUAUAUGUGUUGCUGUUUUCGAUGGGAUCCCCCUUCCUAUCACCACUGCGUCAGUUGUCAUCUAUAUGUGAGAAAGCUAUUGAUCCAUACCGAUUGUUUGCAUAGCAAAUUGGCUCGAUAAGAAGGUAUUUGACAUUUACUGCCUGUGUAGCUAUCACUUACGUGGUAUGUGCAUUCAUUCCAUUACUUGUAAAGAAAUAAUACCGUUUUCUUUGUUUUUUUCUUUUUUGGUUUUUUUUGGUACUUAAUGAGAUAACACAUACAAAGCAGUAAAAACAGUGUUUGGCUCCUAACAACCCCCUCGGAAAGAUCUCCGUUUUUAUUCUCUCUAAUAGGUUUAUCAGCUGAUCCGGGGUACCGGGGACUUUUCAGUAUAU